rfam:Sphingomonas sanxanigenens DSM 19645 = NX02 plasmid pNXO2, complete sequence.
CUUGCGGACCGGGCCCCUCUGGCGGCGGCGCUACGCUACCGUCAUGUCGGACCGCAUCG